rnacentral:rRNA from 1 species
GAUGAACGCUGGCGGCGUGCCUAAUACAUGCAAGUCGAGCGAACGGACGAGAAGCUUGCUUCUCUGAUGUUAGCGGCGGACGGGUGAGUAACACGUGGAUAACCUACCUAUAAGACUGGGAUAACUUCGGGAAACCGUAGCUAAUACCGGAUAAUAUUUUGAACCGCAUGGUUCAAAAGUGAAAGACGGUCUUGCUGUCACUUAUAGAUGGAUCCGCGCUGCAUUAGCUAGUUGGUAAGGUAACGGCUUACCAAGGCAACGAUGCAUAGCCGACCUGAGAGGGUGAUAGGCCACACUGGAACUGAGACACGGUCCAGACUCCUACGGGAGGCAGCAGUAGGGAAUCUUCCGCAAUGGGCGAAAGCCUGACGGAGCAACGCCGCGUGAGUGAUGAAGGUCUUCGGAUCGUAAAACUCUGUUAUUAGGGAAGAACAUAUGUGUAAGUAACUGUGCACAGCUUGACGGUACCUAAUCAGAAAGCCACGGCUAACUACGUG